GAAACCUGUUGUUUUUAUAAUCCCACUCCAGAUGCAUCAGUGCAAGGGUCUUUUGACGUGUUAAGAGUUCAGAAGGGAGAAACAAUCAGUCUGAACUGCAGCAUGACAGAACGAUAUGAAAUCGCCUGGUAUCACCUCAGUUCUGAAGGACUCAUUCUUCUGAUUUCUGCGAAGAAGGACAAAAUGGGAAGAAAACUCCUGAUAAACUACGUUCGAAAUGAUACUCAUCUAAAACUUACAAAAGACAGCUGGAUCAGCACAGUUUCUCUAGAGAUUUCUGGAGUAACAGAGUCAGAUUCAGGUCUUUAUUUCUGUGGAAUAAAGUCUGAUGCUCCAGAGAUGUUCUUCGACAAACCCAUCAGACUAGAGAUCGAGGGUAACACUUUUCAGUUCUUCAAUCAUGUCUUAACAAACUAAAGAUUAGCAGAACAUGGGUGGCAAGAGAAAGGCUAUUCUAUAUAUUUUCUUGAUAUUUCAGUGUAUAUGUGUGUGUAUAUAUAAUUGGAUAUCAGAGUACAUUUUUAAGUCACAAAAAUACAAAAGUUUGGAUGCAGUGAAUUGUUUUCUUCUUGAUCUGAAAAACAAAUGAUAAAAACCCUCAAAUGUCAUUAUGCAAAAUCUCUGUUGCAUAAAGAACAAAAAGUUACAGAAGCUCAUCUUAACCCACUCUUCCAUGUACAACUAAAACAGUUUUGUGUUUGUGUGUGUUUAAUAAUUUGGUCAUAUAUUUAUAGGUCUUUUUAUAACAGAAGUGCCAGAAGAGGUUGAUGUCACAGAUGGAGUGACUACGAAAGAGAGGGCGUUGAUGUUUGGUGGUGUUGGUCUGGCGAUUGCUGUGUUUUUUCUGGCUACAGUCAUUGCUGGAGGAAUCAUUCACUAUCGUGGCCGGCAGAAAGGAUGGAGCGCAGCCAAACGCUCAUCUCUGAUUCGUCACAAUUCAGCUAAAUGACACAUUUGUAUGCUUUAUUUUCCUGUCUGAGCUUUGCACUGCAAGCUAAACCAGAAAUACUAUACUACAAACUAAAAUAAAUGCCUAAAUGCU